AAAAGAAACUAACAAGGAUUCCCUUAGUAACGGCGAGUGAACUGGGAAGAGCUCAAAUUUUAAAUCACCUAGGUUACCUGGGCGAGUUGUAAUUUGAAGAAAGUGUUUUGAUGCUCUGGUUUUGUCUAAAUCCUUUGGGAUAAGGUAUCAUAGAGGGUGAGAAUCCCGUUCAUGAUUUAAACCCUGGGUGUCACCUAAUUCACUUUCUAAGAGUCGAGUUGUUUGGGAUUGCAGCUCAAAAUGGGUGGUAAAUUUCACCUAAGGCUAAAUAUAUGCAAGAGACCGAUAGCGAACAAGUACCGUGAGGGAAAGAUGAAAAGAACUUUGAAAAGAGAGUUAAAUAGUACGUGAAAUUGUUGAAAGGGAAACGAUUGAAGUCAGUCAUGCUUGCAGGGAAUCAGCAAUGGUGGUUUAUUCUUCCUUGUGCACUUUCUUGCUUGGCAGGUUAGCAUCAAUUUCGAUUGUCAUUAAAGAAUUGGGGGAAUGUGGCUUCUUCGGGAGUGUUAUAGACCCUGGUAGAUGUGGCGAUCGGGAUUGAGGAUUGCAGCGAAUGCUUUUUGGCUAGUCACCUGGCUUCUGAUAGUCGCCUUGCUUCCGAUAGCUUGCUAAUGGUGGUGAGACUCGAUUGUCUAGAAGUUAGAGUGAUCAUAAAUUCGCUAAGGAUGCGA
rnacentral:rRNA from 1 species